UACGUAGGGGGCUAGCGUUGUCCGGAAUCAUUGGGCGUAAAGCGCGCGUAGGCGGCCAGAUAAGUCCGGUGUGAAAGCCACAGGCUCAACCUUUGAAUGUCAGUGGAUACUGCCGGGCUAGAGUCCGGAAGAGGCGAGUGGAACUCCUGGUGUAGCGGUGGAAUGCGCAGAUAUCAGGAAGAACACCAACGGCGAAGGCAGCUCGCUAGGACGGUACUGACGCUGAGACGCGAAAGCGUGGGGAGCGAACAGG
rnacentral:rRNA from 1 species